rnacentral:tRNA from 1 species
GCCCGGGUGGUGGAAUUGGCAGACACAAGGGACUUAAAAUCCCUCGACCCUUGGGUCAUGCGGGUUCGAGCCCCGCCCCGGGCA